GGUGUUGUCCAGAUAUUAAAGAAAAUGGAGCUGCCAGAUGAAUGUACUUUCCAGAUGUAAACCAUCACAAAUGAUGCCGGUUUGUAUUUACCAGAUGUUUACCAAAUGAUCAAAUUUGAUUUGUAAUUCAAAACAAAUAUUCAAAUUGUGGCAAAAAGCAAGUGGAAAUGGAAUACUCAGUUGACGAAAAUGGUUAACAUGAUAACUUUUGCCUGUGAUAAGUGCAAAGAUCUAUACAGUACUGGUCUGCUCAGCUUGGUCAGUUCACAAAUAUUUUGUUAGAAAAUCAGCAAAUCCACCGACUUGAAUACAAGCCAUCGACUUGAAUUCAUUGGUUAUUUUCCAUGUACCAACAAUAUGGAAAUAAAAUUUGUUUAUAAAUUUGAAA